rnacentral:misc_RNA from 1 species
GAAAUGCGAUAAUUAAUGUGAAUUGCAGAAUUCAGUGAAUCAUCGAGUCUUUGAACGCACAUUGCGCCCCCUGGUAUUCCGAGGGGCAUGCCUGUCCGAGCGUCAUUGCUGCCCUCAAGCACGGCUUGUGUGUUGGGCUUCCGUCCCUGGCAACGGGGACGGGCCCAAAAGGCAGUGGCGGCACCAUGUCUGGUCCUCGAGCGUAUGGGGCUUUGUCACCCGCUCCCGUAGGUCCAGCUGGCAGCUAGCCUCGCAACCAAUCUUUUUAACCAGGUUGACCUCGGAUCAGGUAGGGAUACCCGCUGAACUUAAGC